AUCUGCUUGACCAGAAGCAUCUUGAUUGGAAUCCUCAUAACAAGAACUGAAACUAGUUAUGGAAAGAAGUGCAAAUUUGACAAUGCCACCAAGAGCAGACCAAAGAGGAAUGCUUGGAUCUUAAGAAUGGCAGUAAUGAAGAAGUUAGGUAUUGCUCAAAAUACCAGGCUCCACAAAGGGAUGUCUGCUCUAAUGGUAUUUAUUGAUCUGUAUUAUGUUGGAGUCAGCCUGAAUAAACAGAGAUGACCACUACAUGGCAUCAGCUAAAUUGCUGUGGUGCUCUACAUAGCUACAGAGAAAUCUUGAUCCACCUGAGCAUGGAAUGAUACUGAAGAAAGCAAACCUAAAAGGCUAAGAGUCAAACCACACUUUCUUAGGGAGCAUACUGUUUUCUGUCUAUAAAUGUAUCUUCAUCUGCUACUGUUACCAACUUCUAC
rnacentral:lncRNA from 1 species